ACCUUAGACCAACGAAAUCUCAACUCGUUGUUUUAACCACCCAAACCACUUCAAAUCGCUUCGGGUUCUACAAGAAAGUUGUAGAUCUCGUCGAGAUCUUUCAAUCCCGACCAAUCUCAUCUCUUUUCAUCCACUAUACACGGACAAUUUCGCAUCGCAAGGCGUCAGGUCUGACAAAGGGAAUUUUCAAUUAGUUCGUGCUCCUUCCACGAAAUCCAAAUUCCUUUGAUGAAUCUGUUUCGAGUCAACCGGAACCAAAUCGAGUUUCAAAACUAUCUCGAAUCAUCAUGACUUCAACACGGAAGUUGUUCCUCUCGUCAAGAUCUUUCCAUUGCCGCGAGUCUCACCUUAUUUCAUUCACCGAGCAAGGAGAAAAACGUGUUACAAGAUUCAGAUCUUAUAAGAUUGUGAAGGAGGUCAAGGUUACUCUUGUGAUUGAUGUGAUUGUGCGGGUUGCUUUGAUCAAGGCAAGUGACAUUCAAAUCC